UGAUUCUGUAGCUCAGCUGGGAGAGCGCUACCUUGACAGGGUAGAGGUCGCUGGUUCGAGCCCAGUCAGAAUCAU
rnacentral:tRNA from 1 species